GAUGAACGCUGGCGGUAUGCCUAACACAUGCAAGUCGAGCGAGAAAGUUCCUUCGGGAAUGAGUACAGCGGCGGACGGGUGAGUAACACGUGGGCAACCUGCCUGUAAGACUGGGAUAACUUCGGGAAACCGAAGCUAAUACCGGAUAGGAUCUUCUCCUUCAUGGGAGAUGAUUGAAAGAUGGUUUCGGCUAUCACUUACAGAUGGGCCCGCGGUGCAUUAGCUAGUUGGUGAGGUAACGGCUCACCAAGGCAACGAUGCAUAGCCGACCUGAGAGGGUGAUCGGCCACACUGGGACUGAGACACGGCCCAGACUCCGACGGGAGGCAGCAGUAGGGAAUCUUCCGCAAUGGACGAAAGUCUGACGGAGCAACGCCGCGUGAGUGAUGAAGGCUUUCGGGUCGUAAAACUCUGUUGUUAGGGAAGAACAAGUACAAGAGUAACUGCUUGUACCUUGACGGUACCUAACCAGAAAGCCACGGCUAACUACGUGCCAGCCGCCGCAGUAA
rnacentral:rRNA from 1 species